CCGUAAACGAGGUCGAUUUGGAGGUUGUGCCCUUGAGGCGUGGCUUCCGGAUCUAACGCGUUAAAUCGAACGCUUGGGGCGUGCGGCCGCAAGGCUACGACUCAAAUGAAUUGACGGGGGGCCGCACAAGCGGUGGAGUAUAGGGUUUCAUUCUAUGCAACGCGAAGAACCGUACCUGGUUGUGACAUCCACAGAACGUUCCAUAGAUGGAUUGUAUCCUUUCGGUUCUGUUCGACCUGUGGUGCGUCGUUCUUCGCGUCUCGGGGUGGUGAAUUUUUGGUUCAUGCCCGCAACGAG
rnacentral:rRNA from 1 species